rnacentral:rRNA from 1 species
UACGUAGGGGGCUAGCGUUAUCCGGAAUUACUGGGCGUAAAGGGUGCGUAGGUGGUUUCUUAAGUCAGAGGUGAAAGGCUACGGCUCAACCGUAGUAAGCCUUUGAAACUGGGAAACUUGAGUGCAGGAGAUGAGAGUGGAAUUCCUAGUGUAGCGGUGAAAUGCGUAGAUAUUAGGAGGAACACCAGUUGCGAAGGCGGCUCUCUGGACUGUAACUGACACUGAGGCACGAAAGCGUGGGGAGCAAACAGG